rnacentral:tRNA from 1 species
CGCCGCCUCGGCCGGCGGGGCGAUGGCGCUGCCCGUGCUCCUGUCGCUGGCGGGCCUGGCGGCGUUCCGCCCCCGCCGGGCGGCGGC